rnacentral:lncRNA from 1 species
AGACGACGACGAGAGAAGAGCACGUCUGCUUCGCCCAUCGUCACUGUAGCAGUCGGUUGUUCCCCCUUCGUUUUCUUUUGUAGGGACGACGACCUCCUCCUCCUCCACCCUUUGUAAUCUCGACUUUCGACCACACCUAUGCUUGUGAUUAGCCAACAUGGUCACAUCAAAGCUAAAAAAAGAAGAAAAAAAAGCUAAAAAACGAAACGUGCAUUCAUGUCCCGAUCCUAAUAAAAAAGGCUAAAAAGCUAAUAAAUAGUUUUUCUGCUCCGGAAAUAUGGCAUAAUUGAACAAACACAAGUGUCAUAGCAAUUCAACAGUCAACAAGGAUGGAAUUAUCUCGGGGUAGGUGACUACAUACAAAUCGGAAGCAUGCGGAUGAUAUCAUGCUCACGCUAAUAAGCAACCAAAUAAAAGUAAAGACUUAGUGGUAUGCUAUCCAUAUGCCCUAGUAUGGAGGGUAGUAUGGAGGAGAAUAGUCAAACACAAUCAAACGAUCAAUCCAUUUGACCAAAAAAUGGUGGGUGGGGAAAUGGAAGCUUCUGUUGCUCAAGAAUACCAGAGACAAUCAAGUCAGAUUCAGAUGAGAAAUUCUAAUCCAUGAUCAAAGUUUUGUGCAUAUAUACAUUUAUAUAUUUAUCAUAUCAACAGCAAGCUUUAGCAACAAAACAAAUAUACCCACUCGAAGACACGAGAUCCAACAUGACACAUUCACAAAAAGGACACUCUCCAACUUUCCUGGCUAUGCAAGCAAGCAAAUUCCAGUAAAUUGUUCGGUAAUGCUACAUGUAUUGGUACCGAAAACAUGCCUACUCUCAUAUGACAACUAGAGUCAAUACCAAUUUCUAUAAAAUUUUACCCAAAUAGCCUCAAAUAUCAGUAGAUCACAGUGGCUCUAGUUUUGACCAACCUGUAUAAUGGAACAGAUGAAUACUUGCAUGAUAUCAUGGCUUUCUCAAGGCAGAUGCUGCACCCAUAACUACCGCCAUCACGAGGCCGAGACCAGCUCCAAGUGAUGCACCAACGGCAGCGGCUGUAACGGAACUUUCCUUUGCCUC